GCUUGAGUGGCAGAGUUCGGUAAUAGCAAAAGAUCUAAAAUCUUUCUACCAGGGGUUCAAAUCCUCUCUUAAGCU
rnacentral:tRNA from 1 species